UACAGAGGGGGCGAGCGUUGUUCGGAAUUACUGGGCGUAAAGCGCGUGUAGGCGGUCCGGUAAGUCGGCUGUGAAAGUCCAGGGCUCAACCCUGGGAUGCCGGUGGAUACUGUCGGGCUCGAGUUCGGUAGGGGAGACUGGAAUUCCUGGUGUAGCGGUGAAAUGCGCAGAUAUCAGGAGGAACACCGGUGGCGAAGGCGGGUCUCUGGGCCGAUACUGACGCUGAGGCGCGAAAGCGUGGGGAGCGAACAGG
rnacentral:rRNA from 1 species